AGUGAACGCUGGCGGUAGGCCUAACACAUGCAAGUCGAACGGCAGCACAGUAAGAGCUUGCUCUUACGGGUGGCGAGUGGCGGACGGGUGAGGAAUACAUCGGAAUCUACUUUUUCGUGGGGGAUAACGUAGGGAAACUUACGCUAAUACCGCAUACGACCUACGGGUGAAAGCAGGGGAUCUUCGGACCUUGCGCGAUUGAAUGAGCCGAUGUCGGAUUAGCUAGUUGGCGGGGCAAAGGCCCACCAAGGCGACGAUCCGUAGCUGGUCUGAGAGGAUGAUCAGCCACACUGGAACUGAGACACGGUCCAGACUCCUACGGGAGGCAGCAGUGGGGAAUAUUGGACAAUGGGCGCAAGCCUGAUCCAGCCAUACCGCGUGAGUGAAGAAGGCCUUCGGGUUGUAAAGCCCUUUUGUUGGGAAAGAAAAGCAGCAGGUUAAUACCCCGCUGUUCUGACGGUACCCAAAGAAUAAGCACCGGCUAACUUCGUG
rnacentral:rRNA from 1 species